rnacentral:tRNA from 1 species
UGGGGUAUGUUGUAAUGGCAGCAAAUGUGACUUUGACUCACACAGUUCAGGUUCGAAUCCUGAUACCCCAG